AAUAGAUACCCGGGUAGUCCACGCCGUAAACGAUGAGUGCUAAGUGUUGGGGGGUUUCCGCCCCUCGAGUGCUGCAGCUAACGCAUUAAGCACUCCGCCUGGGGAGUACGGUCGCAAGACUGAAACUCAAAGGAAUUGACGGGGGCCCGCACAAGCGGUGGAGCAUGUGGUUUAAUUCGAAGCAACGCGAAGAACCUUACCAGGUCUUGACAUCCCGGUGACCACUAUGGAGACAUAGUUUCCCCUUCGGGGGCAACGGUGACAGGUGGUGCAUGGUUGUCGUCAGCUCGUGUCGUGAGAUGUUGGGUUAAGUCCCGCAACGAGCGCAACCCUUAUUCUUAGUUGCCAUCAUUCAGUUGGGCACUCUAAGGAGACUGCCGGUGAUAAACCGGAGGAAGGUGGGGAUGACGGUCAAAUCAUCAUGCCCCUUAUGACCUGGGCUACACACGUGCUACAAUGGACGGUACAAACGGUUGCCAACCCGCGAGGGGGAGCUAAUCCGAUAAAACCGUUCUCAGUUCGGAUUGUAGGCUGCAACUCGCCUACAUGAAC
rnacentral:rRNA from 1 species